GCCAGGAUGGCCGAGUGGUCUAAGGCGAUGCGUUAAGGCCGCAGAAACUUCGGAUGCGUGGGUUCGAAUCCCACUCCUGUCA